GGCAAAGCAGGGGUCCUUGUACCAUGAGAUGGUCUUAUCAGAGCCUGUAGCCCCAGGGGGCCCAGGUGAGGGGCUGCUCCUGCAGGAUAACGCAAUCUCCACUGAGAUCCAGGCUUUGCUUUCCUCCUAUUACAGUGACAGGUGAUAGGGCUGGGUAGGCUUGGGGCCUGAGCUCUGACUAGCCCAACCCUCCCCCAACCCCUUCCUGGUGCCACAGCUAUUGAGCCGCUGGAUGACAUCGCAGCGGUGACAGACAUCCUGACCCAGCGGGAGGGCGCAAGGCUGGAGACACCCCCACCCUGGCUGGCAAUGUUUACAGACCAGCCUGCCCUGCCUAACCCCUGCUCGCCUGCCUCAGUGGCCCCAGCCCCAGACUGGACCCACCCCCUGCCCUGGGGGAGACCCCGAACCUUUUCCCUGGAUGCUGUCCCCCCAGACCACUCCCCUAGGGCUCGCUCGGUUGCCCCCCUCCCACCUCAGCGAUCCCCACGGACCAGAGGCCUCUGCAGCAAAGGCCAACCUCGCACUUGGCUCCAGUCACCAGUGUGAGAGAGAAAGGUGCUGGCAUAGGAUCUGCCCAGAAGAGAAAAUGACCCAUGCGCAGUUGGGCUC
rnacentral:lncRNA from 1 species